rnacentral:rRNA from 1 species
UACGUAGGUCGCAAGCGUUGUCCGGAUUUACUGGGCGUAAAGAGCGCGCAGGCGGCUGGUCAAGUCCGAUGUGAAAUCUCCCGGCUCAACUGGGAAACUGCAUCGGAAACUGAUCGGCUUGAAGAUGGGAGAGGGUAGUGGAAUUCCCGGUGUAGUGGUGAAAUGCGUAGAUAUCGGGAGGAACACCAAUUGCGAAGGCAGCUCGCUGGGACGUAACUGACGCUGAGACGGCGAAAAGCGUGGGGAGCAAACAGG